UACAGAGGUCUCAAGCGUUGUUCGGAUUCAUUGGGCGUAAAGGGUGUGUAGGUGGCGCGCUAAGUCCGCUGUGAAAGUCCAGGCUCAACCCUGGGAUGCCGGUGGAUACUGUCGGGCUCGAGUCCGGAAGAGGCGAGUGGAAUCCUGGUGUAGCGGUGAAUGACGCAGAUAUCAGGAGGAACACCAAUGGCGAAGGCAGCUCGCUGGGACGUGACUGACGCUGAGACGCGAAAGCGUGGGGAGCAAACAGG
rnacentral:rRNA from 1 species